rnacentral:lncRNA from 1 species
GGCGAAUAGGGCCCUGAGCAGACCGUGCCUUUAGUCCGGGGAAGCUCCGGGUUUAGGUGGGUCUCUCGGUUGGGCUUUCCCCCACCAAGGACCCCUUUUUCCCCUGCAGAAGCCACGUUUGCAGCACCACAUCCCCCGGAUGACCGUGCCCGCUGACUCACCGGAGGCUUCAUAACUCGUCUUUCAGGUCCAUUUGAAAACUAGAGACCUCAGAGUAGAGACAGAUGACUCCUGGAAUGCCCUGACCUUCCAGAGUCUUUGUGGCCACUCCUGGCCAGCUGCGAACUGUGAAAGGACAUCUAUUCAUCUUCGUUGCCUCCCACACUCUCCUUGUCUCUCCUCAUUCAGAUAUAAGUUUGCUAAAAUGGCUAAAGAGGUCUUUAUAAGGGAGAAAUGACAUAAUGGAUGAAAAAUUACGUGCUAAACUGUAAGGCUAGCCUGGACUUGUUCAUGUGGCAAAGUCAGAGGAGCAAGAGAGAGAAAGCAAAAAUGUGCUUUUUCAAGCCUUUGCUUGUGUUAUAUUUGCUAACAUCCCAUUGUUCACACGUGGCUGAACCCAGAGUCAAGGGUUGGGGCGGAAAACCCCAUCCACAGUGGGAAGGUGCUGCAACAUUAUACGGAAAAGAAAUUGAGUAGAGAAGUGGAUGCAUGUUCGAUUCCUGCACUCCCCGCCUACAGACCUCAGAGCCCAGGCCAUGGCAGUAUUGCAAAGGGACAACAAACCCAUGGGUCCCUCCAGAAUGGACUGUAAAUGAAAUAUGUUCUAGUGUCUUUAAAGAAUAAAAUAGAAAUUUAUUUAAAAGUGUUGC